UGGGGAAUUUUGGACAAUGGGCGAAAGCCUGAUCCAGCAAUGCCGCGUGUGUGAAGAAGGCCUUCGGGUUGUAAAGCACUUUUGUCCGGAAAGAAAUGGCUCUGGUUAAUACCUGGGGUCGAUGACGGUACCGGAAGAAUAAGGACCGGCUAACUACGUGCCAGCAGCCGCGGUAAUACGUAGGGUCCAAGCGUUAAUCGGAAUUACUGGGCGUAAAGCGUGCGCAGGCGGUUGUGCAAGACCGAUGUGAAAUCCCCGAGCUUAACUUGGGAAUUGCAUUGGUGACUGCACGGCUAGAGUGUGUCAGAGGGGGGUAGAAUUCCACGUGUAGCGGUGAAAUGCGUAGAGAUGUGGAGGAAUACCGAUGGCGAAGGCAGCCCCCUGGGAUAACACUGACGCUCAUGCACGAAAGCGUGGGGAGCAAACAGGAUUAGAUACCCUGGUAGUCCACGCCCUAAACGAUGUCAACUAGUUGUUGGGGAUUCAUUUCCUUAGUAACGUAGCUAACGCGUGAAGUUGACCGCCUGGGGAGUACGGUCGCAAGAUUAAAAGCUCAAAUGAAUUGACGGGGUCAUAGCUGUUUCC
rnacentral:rRNA from 1 species